rnacentral:siRNA from 1 species
UAUGUUUCUAUUAUGUACCGUG